CUUGUGGGUUUAUAGAGAUUGUUACUCUCUUUUCGGUGUUAACCACUCACAUAAGU
rnacentral:tRNA from 1 species